GAGAAAGAAAAAGGAAAGGGCUGGGUACAGUGGUGCGCACCUGUCAUCCCAGCUGCUGGGGAGGCUGGGGCAGGAGGAUCACGAGUUCAAAGCCAGCCUCAGCAAUGGCAAGGCACUAAGCCACUCAGUGAGACCCUGUCUCUAAUAAAAUACAAAAUAGGGCUGGGGACGUGGCUCAGUGGGUGAGUGUCCCUGGGUUCACUCCCUGGUACCCCCCCCCACCAAAAAAAAAAGAGAGAAAGAGGAAAGGGCCACAAAAGCCCAGCCCCCGGCAGGCAAACGUGACCACACUCUCUAGACUCAGAAAGAACAGCCCCUUCCAGGUCCUCUGAAGCCCUCCCCAGGACCCAAGGUGGAGGACGCCCUCCCAGGGGACCUCUGUGGGGAAAGGCCACCUCUCUGACAGGUGAGCUGUGGGGACAGGUGGGGAUCUGCAGAGCAGUGCUGGCUGAGAGUCCCUGAUUGUUGAAGCAGAUGAUGUUACAUGGGGUUCUUAUUCUUCAGUAAGCCCCCCUUAUCCACAGGCGCACUCUGCAAGACCCCCGGGGAAGCCUGAAACUGUGGAUACAGAUACAUGUAUCUAUGCUUUUCCUAUAUAUAUAUCCAUAUAUCUAUCUAUGAUAAAGUCUACUUUAUUAACUAGACACAGUAAGAGAUUAACAACAGUAACUAAUAAUAAAAUAGAAC
rnacentral:lncRNA from 1 species